ACUCCAAAAGUGUAACAACUAACUCUAUUGUUGACAUAUUCAACGACUCUAGUACAGCUUUUACCCUAUAUUUCUUGCAACAUACCGACCAAGUACUCAUACCGGCGCUCCCUGUGAAUCCUACUGUGUGGGGUCGGGAACAAGCAGUUGUCCUAACACGAUGGCGGAAUGGGAUCUAGAAGUUUCCAUGGAACUGCCGCACUGGCUCUUCUCUGCCUAUGGCGCCCAUCCACUAUAAAGAAAAAGUGACUCGAGGCAGUUAUCCAACCAUGGUGGCGGAGGUGGCGAACCGGACGUCGCCCCCCUGGAGGAGCUUGGAUGGCAAGGUCGUGAUGGUCACCGGCGCCUCCUCCGGCAUUGGCUGGGACCAUUGCCUCGACCUCGCCAGGGCCGGUUGCCGGAUCAUCGCGGCCGCGCGGCGGACAGACCGGCUGAGAUCCAUCUGCGAGGAGAUCAACGGUCCGGAUCGUCAGAGACCUCCGCCAUCCGAUCGGUGGCGAUCGAGCUGGAUGUGAGCUCGGGUGAGCCGGCGAUCGCGGCCUCGGUUCAGAGGGCGUGGGAUACGUUUGAUCGGAUCGAUGGGUUGGUGAACAACGCCGGAAUUCGAGGAAAGAAUCAACCAAUGAAUCUUGAAUUAUAAUGGGAUGUUAGAUUGGGAAAGUUUGCUCCGAGUUAUUUGGAGAUAUUCUUUAAGUUAGGUUUUAAGAUCUCAAGACGGUGCCGGCAGGAUCCCAGCGUUUGACAUGGAUUGAACUGUGAGCUUAGCAAACUUCAAGAACUCCUCCAACCAUAUGAGUUACCGGUGUUAUAUAGAUUGUAUAGGUGAAUCGAUAUAUGGAAGAUGCCUUGAGAAAAGAAA